CAGAGUACACAGCUUCCUUACUUUAGUAAAUUUUACUCAAGUACAAGUAAAAGUACUACAGUCAGAUGUCUACUUAAGUAAAAGUACUGAAGUACUUGUUUUUAAAAGUACUUGAGUAUCAAGAGUACAAGAGUACAUUUUCUAAAUAUUGCAUUACUACUGCCACAGUGCUUACAUUUAUGUAUAGAAACGUCCUAGAUGGAGUUAUGAAAAAUGUUAAUGUUAAUACCUUGGAGAAUGUAAAAGGAAUUGAAAGUAAAAUCAAGUCAUUUUCAUCUUUUUACCAUGUUGCUUUAUUUAACAUUUCUCACUUGCCCACAAGGCAAUAGCACAAUGGCAACGCUCUGACAAACCUCUGCUAGUGUUAAUGGAUUUGCAUCCACAUUUGAACCUGACUGUGUUAAAAACACAGUAUACUCAAGAACAUAAAAACAAAUUGCUUCGCCUUGAAGCCUGUUCCACCUUCUGAUGGCCUCUUGCAGGCUGUUGAAGUCAGUUGACAGUAUUCCUCCAGAUGUGUCUCAUGCCUUCUCUGUAAAACACAGUAUAAUAUUUCAGUUUACACUAUAAUAAACUAAUAAAUAUUAGAAAAGAUACCCAUCACGUAGUCUACAUAGCAGUAUUAUCAAUUAUGAAGUGCUGGUUGUUCAUAAUUUUCCAAUGGCUCCAGACUAACUUUUUAAAUUGGUUUUACUGAUGCAACUAACUUUAAUUUACGUGGACCAGCAAAGUAUUUAGGUCCUUCUGACAUUCUAACAAGUGCUGCAAUAUU